AGUUGGCUUAGGGAUACGUUCGUUGGGUAGGGGAGCGUUCUGUAAGCCUGUGAAGGUGUGUCGUGAGGCAUGCUGGAGGUAUCAGAAGUGCGAAUGCUGACAUAAGUAACGAUAAAGCGGGUGAAAAGCCCGCUCGCCGGAAGACCAAGGGUUCCUGUCCAACGUUAAUCGGGGCAGGGUGAGUCGACCCCUAAGGCGAGGCCGAAAGGCGUAGUCGAUGGGAAACGGGUUAAUAUUCCCGUACUUGGUGUUACUGCGAAGGGGGGACGGAGAAGGCUAUGUUGGCCGGGCGACGGUUGUCCCGGUUUAAGCGUGUAGGUGUGUGUUCCAGGUAAAUCCGGUUCACUUUAACACUGAGGCGUGACGACGAGGCACUACGGUGCUGAAGCAACAAAUGCCCUGCUUCCAGGAAAAGCCUCUAAGCAUCAGGUAACAUCAAAUCGUACCCCAAACCGACACAGGUGGUCAGGUAGAGAAUACCAAGGCGCUUGAGAGAACUCGGGUGAAGGAACUAGGCAAAAUGGUGCCGUAACUUCGGGAGAAGGCACGCUGACACGUAGGUGAAGUGAUUUACUCAUGGAGCUGAAGUCAGUCGAAGAUACCAGCUGGCUGCAACUGUUUAUUAAAAACACAGCACUGUGCAAACACGAAAGUGGACGUAUACGGUGUGACGCCUGCCCGGUGCCGGAAGGUUAAUUGAUGGGGUCAGCGCAAGCGAAGCUCCUGAUCGAAGCCCCGGUAAACGGCGGCCGUAACUAUAACGGUCCUAAGGUAGCGAAAUUCCUUGUCGGGUAAGUUCCGACCUGCACGAAUGGCGUAAUGAUGGCCAGGCUGUCUCCACCCGAGACUCAGUGAAAUUGAACUCGCUGUGAAGAUGCAGUGUACCCGCGGCAAGACGGAAAGACCCCGUGAACCUUUACUAUAGCUUGACACUGAACAUUGAGCCUUGAUGUGUAGGAUAGGUGGGAGGCUUUGAAGUGUGGACGCCAGUCUGCAUGGAGCCGACCUUGAAAUACCACCCUUUAAUGUUUGAUGUUCUAACGUGGACCCGUAAUCCGGGUUGCGGACAGUGUCUGGUGGGUAGUUUGACUGGGGCGGUCUCCUCCUAAAGAGUAACGGAGGAGCACGAAGGUUGGCUAAUCCUGGUCGGACAUCAGGAGGUUAGUGCAAUGGCAUAAGCCAGCUUGACUGCGAGCGUGACGGCGCGAGCAGGUGCGAAAGCAGGUCAUAGUGAUCCGGUGGUUCUGAAUGGAAGGGCCAUCGCUCAACGGAUAAAAGGUACUCCGGGGAUAACAGGCUGAUACCGCCCAAGAGUUCAUAUCGACGGCGGUGUUUGGCACCUCGAUGUCGGCUCAUCACAUCCUGGGGCUGAAGUAGGUCCCAAGGGUAUGGCUGUUCGCCAUUUAAAGUGGUACGCGAGCUGGGUUUAGAACGUCGUGAGACAGUUCGGUCCCUAUCUGCCGUGGGCGCUGGAGAACUGAGGGGGGCUGCUCCUAGUACGAGAGGACCGGAGUGGACGCAUCACUGGUGUUCGGGUUGUCAUGCCAAUGGCACUGCCCGGUAGCUAAAUGCGGAAGAGAUAAGUGCUGAAAGCAUCUAAGCACGAAACUUGCCCCGA
rnacentral:rRNA from 1 species